rnacentral:rRNA from 1 species
CGCGUGCACUGGUCCGGCCGGGCCUUUCCUUCUGUGGAACCCCAUGCCCUUCACUGGGUGUGGCGGGGAAACAGGACUUUUACUUUGAAAAAAUUAGAGUGCUCCAGGCAGGCCUAUGCUCGAAUACAUUAGCAUGGAAUAAUAAAAUAGGACGUGUGGUUCUAUUUUGUUGGUUUCUAGGACCGCCGUAAUGAUUAAUAGGGACAGUCGGGGGCAUCAGUAUUCAGUUGUCAGAGGUGAAAUUCUUAGAUCUACUGAAGACUAACUACUGCGAAAGCAUUUGCCAAGGAUGUUUUCAUUAAUCAGGAACGAAAGUUAGGGGAUCGAAGACGAUCAGAUACCGUCGUAGUCUUAACCAUAAACUAUGCCGACUAGGGAUCGGACGAUGUUAUUUUUUGACUCGUCCGGCACCUUACGAGAAAUCAAAGUGCUUGGGCUCCAGGGGGAGUAUGGUCGCAAGGCUGAAACUUAAAGAAAUUGACGGAAGGGCACCACCAGGGGUGGAGCCUGCGGCUUAAUUUGACUCAACACGGGGAAACUCACCAGGUCCAGACACAAUAAGGAUUGACAGAUUGAGAGCUCUUUCUUGAUUUUGUGGGUGGUGGUGCAUGGCCGUUCUUAGUUGGUGGAGUGAUUUGUCUGCUUAAUUGCGAUAACGAACGAGACCUUAACCUGCUAACUAGCCCGUAUUGCUCAGGCAGUACGCCGGCUUCUUAGAGGGACUAUCGG